UUAAUAGAAAAUCCUUUCCACUUUCAGUUUGAACCGUUAGCCUGGCUUGUUUAAAAUGUCUGAGAUUUGACAAUGCCACAAUUUGUGUCCAAUGCCUCCAGGGCAGAAAGGAAAUUAAUUUUUCAGACAUGGUCAUGUGAAGGAUUGCAAAGAGACCGAAACCCCAAUUUCAACAUAAGAAUUGUCUGGGAUUUUUUUUUCAAUGCAUUUACUUCUUGCUCAAGAGGAAUCAGAUAAGCUUCUCGGCUGAGGCCCUUUUGGAUAACUGUCCCUCAGAAGAGAAAUCAGAUUGGGAAAGCUUAAUAGAUAACCAUGGAACCGGUCUCCAGGCCUCUGCACUGCCAACUCCAGAGGGAGCUGUUUACACGAAGCUCUCCCUGAUUGACUUCGGCACACAAACCGAAGGAAAUAAAGGGCCAAGGAACAAAGGUACUGAACAUAUAGAAAACAGCUAUUAAAUACAUGAAACUAUACUCAAGUUGGCUUGUAAUGAGAUCAACGCAAAGUGAACCUUAGACCAAAAUACUGUUUUCACUACGAGAUUGGCAAAGAUUCAAAUAAACACAAUCUCAUUUGAUGUUG